UUAAAAUAGCUUCAGUAAAUUUAUAUUUAAAGAAAUGACUCUUUUUCUGCCACACGAGCGUCACGUUGGAUAGCGAAGGGCCGUGUUAAGUUGAAUACAGUGGUGCACUCACUCGCCGUGUUUAAGAGCAGUAGCUGGAUUACCAUAUUCAUAUCAAUCCUAAUCGCUACGUUUCGACUUAGGAAGGAUGGGAAUUAUUAGGGUGCGUUUGGUUCGCACUAUAAAAGAUUACUAGCAAUAAAAAGAUAUCCGAAAAUCUUAUUCCUAUUCAUCCUAUUACUAAGAAUGUGGCAUUGCUGUGUUUGGUUCGCACAGUUAUAUUAUUUAGUCAUGUUAUUUAAGUUUACAAAAAAUAUACAAUUAAUUUAUUUAUUUCUUAAAUUAAUUUUAGAUAAUGCCACCAAAACUUUCAACAUCUUUUUAGAAAAAGGGAGAGAGAGAACAUAGGUUAGAAAGUGGAGAAUAAUUAAAGAAAUAGGAAGAGAAAUAGAGUCGAGAUUAGAGGGAGUGAGAGAGUUGAGAUUUUAGAAAAAGAGGGGGAGAUGAGCUUAGUUUAGAGAGAGAAAAAGAGUUGAAGUUUAAAGAGAAAAAAAAAAAGUUUAGAGAGAGAUACGAGGUUAGAGUGUAAAGAAAAAUAAUACCAACUAGCCGGCAGGUAGGGAGAAAGAAAAAGAUUAGACAUAUUAUGAUUAUCCCAAUUUAUUAAUAUGAUGAUACCCACCCUUCCUCAAGAGAAUGAGAUUAGUACUUUGGGAUGAAUCUAAUUCCCAAGUAAAUUAAAUAUCACCAACUAGAUUACUUAGUGCGUUUAGCCAAAUACCGUCAUAUUUUUUUAUUUCUAUUAAAUUAUUAGAAAUUUUAAAAAGAUAACACGAACCAAACGCACCCUUAAAGUAAUACGGUAAGUAGGUUGUUUAGUCAAAGAAGGUAAAAGAUAAAUAGAAUAAGAAAUG
rnacentral:lncRNA from 1 species